GCCCCGUAAGCCCACCAAGUAGCCCCUCUCUUCUAACAUUGGCACGGAGGUCGUGUACGCUCGCCGGCUGCCGUGGCGAAGCCCUCAUCUGCUCCCUCCUCCCGACCCUGGAAGAGCAUUUGGGAUGAGUUAGGUUUAGGGAUUUGAUUUUUGAUCCGUCUCAGGUUGCACUUUCGGAUUGGUGGUUGACUGAAGCGGAAAGAGGAUUCGAGGGGAGGAGAAUAGCCGUCGACGGGUUUACGACGAGAUGUGCACCAACUGUGAAACGAGAUGUUGCUCAUACUCUUACGACUGCAGAUGGGGUUACUGUUAUAGUUCGGGGCAUAAUUAACAUGACACGUUUACAAGAUAAUGGUUUUCCUCUGGAGGUGGGUGGAUUUGUUUUACUUCGCUUUCUUGUAUUCAAUAAAAUUGUUGAUAUCUUGCUAUUCAGUAAUGUCAUGUCCUAACAGUGAUUUCUUCUGCUUCCAAUUAGUGUUAUGUUUUUUGUAUUUACAUCUUGAAUUACUUUGAACUUAGUCAACCAACAAAAUUUGCCUGGAAAUACAUAAAAGCUGGGAGACAAUUAGACCCUGUAUAACCUUGUUUCUGUCAACUGUUUUAGGUGCAGCUAAAGGGUAUUUUGCCAUAAAAGCAACUCUUCAACAUUGUUUCCUACGUAUUUUGCCUAUCGUAUUAUAGGUCUGCAGUCACUUCUUGAUUGGAUAUCCAUGCAAUUGGAGUUAGUUUGUUCAUGCUAAUUUUUGCCUGAAAUUUAUGAUGAGGUUACUGACUGUGAGUUGAAUAUUCAGGUACAAACUUUUUCGUUUCAUUUAGCACCAUACAUAUCUCAUUCAAACAUUGUCUUGAUAUUUGUGUAGUAUCUCCAUCAUGAAUGAAAACAACUUACUAAAUUGGUUACUUGAAUCAGUGUUUUCAAUUGAAUGAUCAGAACAUGUUUUGAUAUCCUAAUUUGCUAUAUCGUGUGUGUAUUCUUACAUGCUGCAUGGGAGAGUAUGCAGUUUAGUAAAUGGCUCAUGACUAACAUUCUGUUUUCCUUUUUUUUCUCCCUUGAUUCCAGACCCAGUUUUGGAUGUCCCACUAGCAGAUGGAUGUGUCAGUACCAUAUCACUAAAUGGGUCUAGCUGUUCUGCAUAUGUCUAGGACCAUCAGUAAUGAUGCAUGAAAAUUGGAUCUUAAAAUGAUCUUUUGUCUUGCUUUUGAGUAAUCUAAUGUUGAUGACUUCAAAAAAAUAUUAGAUGGGAUAUAUGAGAUGGGUUUGAACACUACUCAACAUAGUCUACUGUUAACAUUAUAAGAUAUUGACCUGUUCUUGUAUUAAAACAUUUCUUAUUCGAUCAUCAUUUUUGAGAAGUUGGAUGCUGACUCCUCCAUGGAGACAGGAAAUCUAACUUGCAGCAAGUAAUGCUGAGAAGCUUUACCAAAUGCUGCAUGAUGAGACUAGCUUUUACAUUUUCCUGAACUAAGCAGAUUGUCAAAGUCAUCUUAACAGCACAUAAAGAGAACAGAAGCAAGUAUGUCGUACCUUCUACUUAAGAAAGUAGAACCAAUAGUUUAGUCUUUGUUGUUUCAGACUAUCUAAUAUGUUAAUUGAUAAGAAGUACUUUGCUGGAUGACAAGGAGCCUGAACUUGAUCAGCCUGUCACAUGCCAUGCUUCAGUUAUAAAUUUAAUCUUGCUUCGGCUGAAUAGAUAGCACUGUUAUCUUAUCCCCCACUCAGCUGUAACUGAUUCUGGAGACUAACUGCCGAAGAACCACAAUCCAUCUUGUCAGUUUCCAUCAGCUGUCACAAUAAUUCUUGGUUUAGAUUGUUGCCUGAACCAUUCUUCAGUAUUUAGAAACUUUUGUUCCUAUGGGGGCAUAACUAUGAGAAUCCCGGUCACUUGUCUAAUUCGAUAAUUUUGAGCAGCUUCUUGCAUGUUGUAGUACCUUGUUGAAAACUUUCCUGCAUAUGCUGAUAUACUUAGUGAUCAAUUUUAGGCUUUAAUAUGUUGAUGAUCAUAUCUGGCACAUUCCAGCUAUCUUACAUGGGUGGAACUGAACUUUCAUUGAUAACAAUAAACUGCUUUGGUUAUACUGAAUCAGCAGUACCUGGAUCUUUUCUUGUAUUCUUUGCUGAGAUGGAUACUUUACCGGGUUAUAGUAUCUAAAUAUACCCUAAUGACUGCAAGAUGUCAUCUUUUAUGCUGCUAUGGAGCAAAUCAGAGCCCACAAGGAGGAGAAAAAUUCUGUGAAUACUUCAUAUUUGGAUCACAAGUGAGCUUUAUGUCCUGACGACCAUUUCUAGUAUUGAAGGAUCCAUCAGGAGCUGGUUUUUCCUGCAACACUUGACGUUGUAAGAUCACCUGUCCAAUGCCAGGAGCGGAACUCGAUAUCUAAGGGCUGGUUUUUCACCUUAGAUUUGGCUCUUUUAAUGUUUGAAAAUCACGCAAUCUUUCUUCGUAUCCAAUAUAAACACAUGUGUAAACUGUAAACAUAUAACAGCUUUCUUUUCUACACUUCCUAGUGCCUUGUUAUGUUUCA